rnacentral:rRNA from 1 species
CCUACGGGAGGCAGCAGUAGGGAAUAUUGGGCAAUGGUCGCAAGACUGACCCAGCCAUGCCGCGUGCCGGAAGAAGGCGUACGCGUCGUAAACGGCUUUUGUCGGGGAAGCGGUACCCGGCGAAUCAGCACCGGCUAACUCCGUGCCAGCAGCCGCGGUAAUACGGAGGGUGCAAGCGUUGUCCGGAUUCAUUGGGUUUAAAGGGUGCGCAGGCGGGAGAUUAAGUCAGAGGUGAAAGACGGUUGCUCAACAAUCGCAGUGCCUUUGAUACUGGUUUUCUUGGGUGGGGUCGAGGUAGAUGGAAUUCAAGGUGUAGCGGUGAAAUGCAUAGAUACCUUGAAGAACUCCGAUUGCGAAGGCAGUCUACUAGCCUAACCGACGCUCAGGCACGAAAGCGUGGGGAUCAAACAGGAUUAGAUACCCUUGUAGUC